UACGGAGGGUGCGAGCGUUGUUCGGAAUCACUGGGCGUAAAGCGCGUGUAGGCGGCCCACUAAGUCUGAUGUGAAAGCCCGGGGCUCACCCCCGGAAGUGCAUUGGAAACUGGUGGACUCGAGUCCCGGAGAGGAGAGUGGAAUUCCUGGUGUAGCGGUGAAAUGCGUAGAUAUCUGGAGGAACACCGGUGGCGAAGGCGGCAUCCUGGACCGGCAUUGACGCUGAGGUGCGAAAGCCAGGGGAGCAAACGGG
rnacentral:rRNA from 1 species